GACGAACGCUGGCGGCGUGCCUAAUACAUGCGAGUUGAGCGCUGAAGGUUGGUACUUGUACCAACUGGAUGAGCAGCGAACGGGUGAGUAACGCGUGGGGAAUCUGCCUUUGAGCGGGGGACAACAUUUGGAAACGAAUGCUAAUACCGCAUAAAAACUUUAAACACAAGUUUUAAGUUUGAAAGAUGCAAUUGCAUCACUCAAAGAUGAUCCCGCGUUGUAUUAGCUAGUUGGUGAGGUAAAGGCUUACCAAGGCGAUGAUACAUAGCCGACCCGAGAGGGUGGUCGGCCACAUUGGGAAUGGGAACAGGCCCAAAAUUCUACGGGAGGGCGCAGGAGGGAAUCUUUGGGAAUGGACGAAAGUCCGGACGAGCAAAGCCGCGUGAGUGAAGAAAGUUUUCGGAUUGUAAAACCCUGUUGGUAGAGAAGAACGUUGGUGAGAGUGGAAAGCUCACCAAGUGACGGUAACUACCCAGAAAGGGACGGCUAACUACGUG
rnacentral:rRNA from 1 species